rnacentral:rRNA from 1 species
UACAUGGGGUGCAAACGUUGCUCGGAAUUAUUGGGCGUAAAGCGCGCGUAGGCGGUUACCUAAGUCGGAUGUGAAAGCCCUCGGCUUAACUGAGGAAGUGCACCCGAAACUGGGUAGCUAGAGUACUAAAGAGGGUCGCGGAAUUCCCGGUGUAGAGGUGAAAUUCGUAGAUAUCUGGAGGAACACCGGUGGCGAAGGCGGCAUCCUGGACCGACACUGACACUGAGGAGCGAAAGCCAGGGGAGCAAACGGG